UUAAUAGAAAUGAAAUUUCAAAACUACAAGGCUGGGCUUUUUGAGAAUACUAAUGCAGAGUGGCAUUCGUUUGCAUUAUGACUAUAACAGUAGUAAUUGCAGAGAAAGUGCUAAUUUUUUCAUCAUUGUUUUAAACUUGCUUAUAUAAUAUUGUAUUUUAUAUUACAAAGUGAAACUAUUUCCAAGGUGAUUAACUGAACUACCUGAUCUCUUUGUUCUUUGAAUUCUAUUAGAUAACACUGUUUUUUGUUAUAAUCUGCCUCACUCUGAAACCUUCUACCCUUUAUACUGCUACAACCAGGUGGCAGCCUGUACAGUGAUCUUCCUUUCCCUGAAAAUCCACAGGGGCAACGAGCCCAACUAGCAACAUUCAAUAUCUGGGCUUCACCUUGACCCAGAAAAUGCAAAUCAAACUAUGCUGAAAGCUUCAUACAAAGGAACUGAAAGAUUGAUUCCUACAAGGUACAGCAUGGAAUGUUAUAAUUUCAUACCAGGAGUUGAACAGUUCUCCCUUCCAGCCAAGGGCAGAAAUGAGGAACCUGCCAGAUCGGAGAGUUCCCAAAUCUAAUCACCAUUUAUGCUAGAAUUCCUUCAGCUGCAAAUAAUGCAGGGUCUCAUCUUAGCAGUGACAAGAUAUCUGCCAGCAGCACCAGGCCUACAUCUUCCCAGCUUUAAAUUCAGUGAAAAGACAGGAUCUCUUUCUAAAGCACUGCAAUAAAAUUUCCAGAAUGAAAACUCAUCAGCUUAAUUGGCCUCUGUUGGUUAUCUGCCCAUUUGUGAACCAAUCACUGUGGUCUGAGAGGUGCAAGGACUCCUCUGAUUGGCCUGGCCUGGGCCAUUUGCCCACUUCCGGCAUCAGAAGGAAGGACAGUUUCAAAAGGCAAACUGGGUGUUGCUACAGGAGAGCAUUCAGGCAAACCACAGCCAAUCUCAGGACUCUCCUUGUUCUGCCUUGUCUUCAAAUCCUCUUGCACAUUUUUCCAGCCUCGGACCCGCUGUGCCUCACCAUGUUCAUCUAGCAUAGGACCCUCAAUACAUUUCUCUGACACAGGGAAAACCCAUUUGGUGUAGUGAAUGACCCUAGAGUCAAACAGCCUGGGUUCUAAUUCUGGCUCUAUCAUUUUAGCAAGCUGUAUAAUCUCUCCGUGCCUCAGUUUCCUCAUCAAAAAAAAAAAGGCAGGUGGGCUGGGAGCAGUGGCUCAUG
rnacentral:lncRNA from 1 species